rnacentral:lncRNA from 1 species
UUAGAUUUAUGAUAUUUGGCCCCGGUUAUCAAAUUGGUCCACAGUGAGGACUAAAGGGUCCAAAAUUGAACUUUAUUUGAUUUCAUCAAAAAUUGAAUUCUUAGGGUUCUUUGAUAUGCUGAAUCUAACCAUGUAUUUAUAUUUUGGAUAUUGAAAUACCACAAAGGGAUGGUAAGAAUUGUCUUUGGGAGUUAUGGCUCAAACCGUUAAGGAAUAAGGUGCAAAAAGGGGGGAAAGGGUUUCCAGGUUAAUGGACAAUUACUUAAGCACAAAACAUAAUUAAAAAGCAGUGUAAGGUUGGUAAUUGAAACUCAUUUGAAUAUCUCACCUAAACUGCUUUUAAAUUAUGUAUAUUGGAAAUUUGCCAAAAACUUUAUUAUUAAUAAAUGCCAUUGGAAAUUUGCCAAUAACUUUAGUUUAAUGAACUUCAUUGGAAAUUUGCCAAUAU